GGUGGACUCAGUUUACAAACCCUGACUUUGUCAGACUAUUUGACAGCAUUUCCCCAACCCCCAUCUUCUACCUCUAUUUAAAACCUCUGCUGCUGGCAGAGGUUCCCAUUAGAGAUUUUGCUCCUCACGUAUCCAGUGGUUGUCUUUUUUUCUUUGUACUUCUGGGGGGGGGGCAAGUAGGCUAGACCCUGAAAGAUUGAGUAGUCUUCUGCUGCAGCUGGUUUUGUUUGGGGAGUCUAACCAGAUCCUUCCAGCCCUUCCUUAGGAAGAAGAGAAGUUCGUGGACUAGGGGUAGCACAGAAACAGUUGGCAGGGGAUCGACUGGACUUAGAAGACAAAAUGUCAUUAUUCCGGGUUGUGUUCAAUGUGUUGACCUGCUGCAACUCAACUGAAGAGGACGAUACUUUGCCUCAUCGGUAUGCCGAUCCUCGAUCUCCCACUCCUGGGGUCAGACGGGAUAAUGUCGGUGAAGCCACCAGUUGCCUCGAGAACGUUUCCUCGGGGCCCCAAGCCCCAUCAAUUUCAAACAGGUCUUGCCAAAGAGAAAUCUUGGACUUGAGGGACAAGAAGGCUGUCAAUUACCUUCUAAAGAAAAUCCCUAAGCAAAGUAACAAGGAUGGCGUAAAGAAUGGAUCCCGUGAUUCUGCGGCCACUAGAGUAAGGUCAGACACAUGGCCUUAGAACAACCUUUGGAAAAAACUAAUUCCUUAUAUGUUUGGGGGAGCUACUGACACUUCAUGCUUAAGACCUUGCUGGUAACAUUGAUGUCACUUGUCCUGAAUUAAUUCCAAAGCAAGAAGGAAAAAUCAUCCUUUUUUUGUUCAGCUUUCAAAAGAACCAACACCUUUAAGAUCAGGGCUUAGCCUUGAAUGUCCUAUGAGGAAUGCUACUUCUGAUCCAGAUAUGAUAGAAAUGACAACAUUCACAGGACCAUGUGAAUAUAAUUACAGGAGAGAAUUCAGAUGUCCUCUAUUUUUAAUUCAUGUAGCAGGCAAAUAAGGUCUUUCCCAGAGUCCUGGAUUUUAUGCAUCUCUUAAAUCAAUGGCUAAAUCUAUUACUUCAAGGGUAGUCACUAAGUCAGUAGAGUUGAUGGGUGAUUUUAAUCUCAUUUUAGCUAGCUAGCUGGCUGGCUGGCUGUGUGUGUGAGUGAGAGAGAGGAUGAAAGAAUAGGGGUGGGGGGUGGUAUGUAUAUGAGAGAGAAUAAAUGUGAAAGUAGAGGAAAAAAGAGCUAGAGA
rnacentral:lncRNA from 1 species